GGCAGAGAGUGCGGCCAUAGAUACAUAUACGUUACGUACAAAUUACGUACUUAUGGGUCCGUGUACGGCCCGAAGAAUAAUCAAUGUCCAGUCAAUGUCUUCAGAAUAUUAUGUACGUCGUACGACCACCAUAACAAUGUUCCAAACGUAAAAAGCCGUUUCUUGGCUUACAGCCACUAGCCAAAUCGGUUUCGCUAUAGAUUAUCGUGGGCUGUAAAAACUAAAAAAUCGAAUCGCAUCAAGUCGCGGUGUGCUGCCCGACACAACAAUAACGUAGGUACACAGCCGGAUGAACAGUGUUUGUAGCGGUGAGAACCGUCCCGCUAUCUACCUUCGAGAAGUAGCAUUAGUGGCACGAACUUACGGCAACGUAACGCCAUCUGUGGCCCGAGUCCGACAAGCACGAGUUUGCCACCAGAGUUCGCUACGACAUUGAUUCGCUCGCCAACGGACUUUUAUUUAUUCGUCUAGGGAGGAUGCGCUUAAUCACCGAGAAGGUCUCAGUCGCUCAGAAUACGCGAUCCAAGACCCAGAUUUACAAUUUUCGAACAGAUAAACUAGGCCAUGUUCCAGAGUGUGCAGACAUCAACGAAACGUGUAACAAUAUAUUGGUUUUCAAGUCAUGCAAAGGAUUAUUAAUGAUAAAUCCUGCAGGGACUGGAACCAAUACGCAAACGACCAUGGUGGACUAUUGUCCAUUAUUGAACCGGAAUAUAUUUGAAAAAAAUACACACUCAACCGAAACAGAAAUAUUUAGUUUUACUAUC